GGAGGAAGAGAAAGAAAAUUCGAUUCCCUUAGUAGCGGCGAGCGAAACGGGAAGAGCCCAAACCAACAAGCUUGCUUGUUGGGGUUGUAGGACACUCUAUACGGAGUUACAAAGGACGACAUUAGACGAAUCAUCUGGAAAGAUGAAUCAAAGAAGGUAAUAAUCCUGUAGUCGAAAAUGUUGUCUCUCUUGAGUGGAUCCUGAGUACGACGGAGCACGUGAAAUUCCGUCGGAAUCUGGGAGGACCAUCUCCUAAGGCUAAAUACUCUCUAGUGACCGAUAGUGAACCAGUACCGUGAGGGAAAGGUGAAAAGCACCCCGGAAGGGGAGUGAAAUAGAACCUGAAACCGUGUGCUUACAAGUAGUCAGAGCCCGUUAAUGGGUGAUGGCGUGCCUUUUGUAGAAUGAACCGGCGAGUUACGAUUUGAUGCAAGGUUAAGCAGUAAAUGUGGAGCCGUAGCGAAAGCGAGUCUGAAUAGGGCGUUUAGUAUUUGGUCGUAGACCCGAAACCAGGUGAUCUACCCUUGGUCAGGUUGAAGUUCAGGUAACACUGAAUGGAGGACCGAACCGACUUACGUUGAAAAGUGAGCGGAUGAACUGAGGGUAGCGGAGAAAUUCCAAUCGAACCUGGAGAUAGCUGGUUCUCUCCGAAAUAGCUUUAGGGCUAGCCUCAAGUGAUGAUUAUUGGAGGUAGAGCACUGUUUGGACGAGGGGCCCCUCUCGGGUUACCGAAUUCAGACAAACUCCGAAUGCCAAUUAAUUUAACUUGGGAGUCAGAACAUGGGUGAUAAGGUCCGUGUUCGAAAGGGAAACAGCCCAGACCACCAGCUAAGGUCCCAAAAUAUAUGUUAAGUGGAAAAGGAUGUGGCGUUGCCCAGACAACUAGGAUGUUGGCUUAGAAGCAGCCAUCAUUUAAAGAGUGCGUAAUAGCUCACUAGUCGAGUGACACUGCGCCGAAAAUGUACCGGGGCUAAACAUAUUACCGAAGCUGUGGAUUGUCCUUUGGACAAUGGUAGGAGAGCGUUCUAAGG
rnacentral:rRNA from 1 species